rnacentral:rRNA from 1 species
UACGAAGGGGGGCUAGCGUUGCUCGGAAUUACUGGGCGUAAAGCGUGCGCAGGCGGUGAUGUAAGACAGUUGUGAAAUCCCCGGGCUCAACCUGGGAACUGCAUCUGUGACUGCAUCGCUGGAGCGCGGCAGAGGGGGAUGGAAUUCCGCGUGUAGCAGUGAAAUGCGUAGAUAUCUGGAGGAAUACCGGUGGCGAAGGCGGCAUCCUGGACCGGCAUUGACGCUGAUGAGCGAAAGCUAGGGGAGCAAACGGG